UGCAUACAGGAGUCACAUGACCUCAGGGUGACCAAUCAGGAGAGUCCUGGAUCACUAGCCAGUCUAAUUGGCCAAGUUCUGGACAUGUGACCAACUAGGUCUUGACCAGGAGUUACAGUUGGUGCGAGGUUGCUGAGACAGUUGGUAACUGACCUGUUAUAACUGAGGUUAAGUUUUCACUCCGGGGCUACAGAGGUAGAGUCAGUGUGCUCAGGCAUGAUUUCAGGAGAGCUGCUCCUGUCUACUCCCCCAGCACCCAGUUUUAAUUGUUUGUGUGUGUCUGCACACAUGGGAAGCACAGAGGACCAGUUGUGAGGCCAGUUUUCUCAUUCCACCAUGUGGGCUCCAGGAAGAAAGCUUGGAUCAUCUGGUCUGGUGCUGAUAUUAGGGUGGAAAUUGUCAAGCAGCUUGCAGAGAAGUGAAGAGAGCUGGCAGUGAUGCAGCUGGACCUGGAGGUCAGGCCCUCUGAAAGUGAGACACUGUUGGGUCACCUCAGGAGCCUCAUUAAAGGCAGCUUUACAUGGCUCUGCCACCUCCUCAAAGAGGUGUGGUCUGCUGUCAGGAUCUUCUGAAAGGGAUAGCAGCAGGGAAUUGGUGUGGUCCAGUAGCAUCUGUCAUCUGGUAUACAGAUGCUGUAACAAAAUUCCUGAACAGGAUGGGAAAGUGGUUCAGCUGAGCCUUGAGAGGUGAACAUACCUUGGCACCUGUCCCCUGGAUGGGACAACUUGAGGAAGGACCAUCAAUAUUCCCGUUCUCUACUCAGGACACUGCUAAUGUGUAUAUGAGGAGGGGGACAAGCUGAACCUGAUAUGUUUCGUACUCAACACAGCACAUCAAUCAUAUACUGCUAUGUAACAGGCCCUCCUGGAUGCCAUCAGCCUGGCACUGCUUUACUACACUGUUAAGAGUCCCUGUCUGUGACAUGGAGGCAUGUCAGUACGUGGUACUGAUAUGGAGGUGUCCAUGAGAGUCUGAUGAAACACCUGGCUGCCCCCAGUGAUGUGUGUAAUAGGAGAGUGGAAUGAAGUCAACCUCUGCUUUAUUCUCACAUUCUAUGAGUCUGGACAUCAUGAACGAGGAUGUUGGGAGGUGAGAGCUGGCCUGGCUGGAGCAUUCUGCCAUAGACGGGAUUCGAGAAACAGCAUUCCUGGGACUUGUUUGCUGACUAGUAACUAAAAAAGACCAGGAGUCUCUUUGAUAAGUGGUGGGUGCUGUCCUUGGGUGCAUUCAGGGAGAGGAGCUUGCAGAGAGGUUGUUUAUAUGGGAAGCAUGAAGGACAGCCACUACACCCUGUUGUCAGCUGCUCUGCUAGAUGUGGUGGCCUACACAGCUGAUGCAGCAGGCUAUGGGCUCAUACAAAUGCUGAUUAUUUCUGUCUCUAAAUUGGUGUCAAACACUAUUCCUAUUCCCUGCAAGCCCGAGUUUAUUGUAACUGGCAUGGGAAGAGGACAGGCCUUAAUUGCUUGUCCAUCAUCUUCAUGAGCAGAGGCCUGGGAAGUCCAGCUGGGAGGUGCAGUGUUGCCAGGCUGUCAGCCAUGCUUAAAGUGUACUAGUGUAGGGAUCACCAUGCCUCUGGUCACUCUCACCUCAUGUCUUCUGGACCUGAAAGCUGGCAUAUCUCUGUGUAAACUGCAGCUCUCAGCCCUGGGUUGGCAGGGUCCCACUGUCGUGUGCUUGGCAUGAGCAUCAAUGCUCUGGAAGAGGCUGCUCUUUGUUCCUCUGCCAUAUUUAUCGAAAGCAACCAGGUUCAGGGAAGGGGAAGCACUCACCCAGGGUCUCUUAAAUUCCAGGUCUGUAUCUAGCCUCCUGUAGCAGACUCAUCUCCCUCCUGACUUCUUCAUCUAAAGGUGUGUCUGUGGAUUCGAAUGCAGUCUUCCGUGCUGGUGAUGCCAGGUGUGCCAGAGAUUUGCUUGCCAAGGGACCAGGACGCUCUGCUCUUACAUGUUGCAAAAUACUACUAUACAACAGCAUCCAGGUGCAAUUGCUUCAAGGUUCAUGUCUCCUGCUGAAUCCCAGGCUUUUGCAUACAAGCAAAGAAUUCAUAUUUCUCUCAACAAUUAACUAAAGAGGAGUAGAGGAAGAACCAGGUCUCCUAGUAAUCCCCACUUCUCAACAUAGACACAUUGGACACCUAUUCUCUGCUAUGAACGAAGGCAGGCUGACACUGUGAUGGUCUGGAGAUCCCACACUCAGAGCCCAGGCUAUGAGUCAGGCCUGUUAGAGACUCUUUCCUCAGAGUCCACAGACCAGGAGGUGCCUGGGAAGGAAUUUUAUCUAAGUAUCUUUCUGGGUACCUAAAAACCAGGGCAAGGCUUUUGAAAACAGACUUUGAUUACCUUGUGUGAUCCCAGAUUUAUAUGUACAUAUAAGAAACUCCUGAGGACAUAGUGACAGGUCCUGCUGCACUGGCUAGUGCAUACACAUUGAGUCUACUGUGUGCCCAGGCCUGAGGGUUAGACAAAAAGUUAUGCCAGCCUGAAGGGAGUUCCAGAUGCCUCCCACAUAGGAACAAAAUGUUUAUUGCUCCUGACUGAGAAGUGCCAUUGCAUCUUGGAAUCUUGAAUUAUGCAGUGUGCGUGUGUGAAUGUGCAUGUGGUUUUGUGUGUGUGUGUGUGUGUGUGUGUGUGUGUGUGUGUGUGUAAAACACUUUAGCACCUUCACAGCACUAUCUCAGGGGACAGUGUGUCUGACAUUUUUAAUUACCCUGGUGGUGAGGAUUUUUGGAGAACUUUGUUCUGUACAGUUAUUUGGUUUCUGUCCCUUUUUUGGUGGGGGAGGUGCUCUAGGGUUGUUUUCAAUGGAGGAACAGACUUUGUUUGCCCUGAGGUUCAUGUACACUGUCCUUUAUGUUCUGUGAACCCACAUGGUUAUGGAACAACCUCCCAAAGAGUUGGGCUGAAAGGAGCUACCACUAAGAGGAAAAAAGAUGAGCAUCCACACCAGGCUUGCUAGUGAGGUGGGUCCCUCACCAUGCCUUCUCAUCUUGUCUGAAUCAAUUAGGUCGGGUCCUAGGCAUUGAGUCUCUCUCCCCGCUGAUUGGUUAAUGGAUGUUUUGGGGCUGCAAGAGUCUGGAUUCUGAAGCUCCCAGGACCCUGUGCAGCACUCCCUGGACAGUCGGUAGUGACUGAGACAACCAGACCCCAGGCCAGCACAUGCCCUAUGGAACACACUAGAGAAGCAGAACUCUCCCCUCUUUCAUGUCCUCUUGUUUCCAGGCUCCACCAAACGUGCACAUUCUGCAUAGGAGAGAAAACACAGCACAUUUGUCUUUAAGGACUUGGCUUGUCACAUGGAGCAGGAUCUGUACUUCCACCUACUUUCUGGAAAAAGACAAAAGGACAUUCUUAAGGCUACACACUUUUUUUGGUCUUGAUUAUGCUUCAUAUGUUUUUAAUUUAAGGAUCUGUGUAUUUAAGACUCAUUCCAUAUUCAUGAAUGAUCUUGAUCAUGAAUAUGAUUUUUUAAAUGUGUGUUGAACUAUCGUGAAGUAUCAAGCAGUCUUGUUAGGUUUUCACAUUUUUACAUGGAAAUUUUGACAUAAUAUUUGGUUAUUGUAGUUUUAAUUGCAUAUGUGUGUCUGCACACAUGUGAAAAUCAGAGGACAAAUUGUGAGGACAGAUCUCUCAAUCCAUCAUGUGGGCAUGAGAAAUAAAACUUGGGUCAUCAGGUCUGGUGGUAACCAACUCUAUCCAUUAAAGAACCAGCACCUAUUUUCACUUUAUCUGAUUUUGGUUACAGCGUAACGUUGGCUUUCUGGGACACAUUGGGAAGUGUCUCUUCCCUUCCAUUUUAUGGAAUUAUUUUAGGAACUUUGGUGUUCUUUAAACACCUGGGAGUUUUCAUUCAAGAAUAUUUGUGGUAUUGGGCACUUUGUUGAUUUGUAUUUGUUUAUUAAUAUUUCUUCAUUGCCUUUUACUGAUCUAUUCAGGCAUUUUAUAUGUAGUUGGAAAUUUAUCCAUUUCUACCUCAUUCACAUGGGAUUGUGUCAUAAGUUUGCUAUAUCUAUUCUAUAGAUUCUUAGAUAUGUUCUAAUGGUUCUUAAAGCCUUAUUGUAUGUGCUACAGUAUUUCUUCCAAGUAUCUAGAGUUUUGUUCUCUAUCAUCUCAUUUUAGUUGUAGUAAUUCUUCCUCAGUUUCACAUGAUUUUCCAAGGACCAUGCAAUUUUUUCAUAGUUCAUUUUGGUCUGUUUGGUUAGGUUCGGCUACUGCUUUAGGGUAUUGUGUUUUGUUUUGUUUUUGCUGUUAUUUUUCUAUGAAUCUGAAGUGCACCGUGGAACCAUCUCAACUCCCUCUCACUUUUCCAAGGGUGAAAUGAGAGCAGUAAAUCUUGUUUCCUGACCUGUUUCUCUUGCAUAAAAUAUCAUGGUUUUCAUCUCAGGAUUUUGUCAGCUGGUAUUAGGAUGGAAAUUGUCAAGCAACAUUCAAGCAAAUAUACAGAGCAGGCAACAAUGAAGCUAACAUGUAGACCAGGUGCUCCAAAAGUGUGCCCCUUUCAGAUCAUCUCAUUUUCAUGACCCUUGAUGAAAGCUACUUUCCUGAGCUGUGCCAUCUCAACAAGGAUGUGUGGGCCACUUUCAGAAUCCAGGAAAGGGAUACGAAAAAUGACUCAGUCAACCUGACUGAGAUAGGCAUCCAAAUAUAAUGAAGCUGUUCCACAUACUCCAAACCAGAAAACAUAUCUUUAUGGUGCUGGAACAGGCUGCCGAGGGAGAUCUGGUGAACCACACUGAGAAGGAAGGUUGUGUACAGUUGGAACAGUCAUGGCACUUCCUCGCACAGAUGAUGUGUUCUGUUCACUAACCAAUGAGAACAGCGUUGCACACAGCAACAUCACAUUGUGUGAAUUUGCCCUGGAUAAUAAGUGUCCUGCGGAGAGAAGUUCAAGUACUGUGGUGGGAUAGUGUGGUAUGGUGAGGCCAGAUUACCAGCAUAUUAUGUGUGGCAGGGAAGAGCUUGCUAGCUGGAACUGAUCAUAGCACUCUGUUGGCAGGUGAAGUUGCACUUGGUAUGCAACAGGGCCUAAUAUCCCAGAGACAUAUGUAUGUAUAGAGCAUGUACCUCCCUCCCUGUUAACACCCUAUAGAUAUUUGCUAGCUCAAGACAUGUAGGACACUCAAUAGAUUUCUAGAUAAAAGUCCUGCCUUGACAGCAUCUCUUCUACUGUGGCAUGUACAAUGCCAGGUACCAGAACCUGCUAGACAACCCCCUGAUGACAGUGUCACCUGAAAUACAGGGAUAGGUAUAGGGUCCUGCUGGACAUUCCUCCUCUUGUAAUGACCCAAAUAUCAUGGUAGAGUAAGAUCCUGCUAGACACCUCCUGCCCUGACAUAUUAAAAGAAGUAAAAGUUUAUGAGAUUGGGUGUCAAUAGUAUUUCUUCCCCUGGGGAGACUUAAUAUCUACCCUCCUUCCUCAGCUCCCAGUGACACAUGCAGCAGGAUCCACUCUGGGAACCAAUGAGUGUAUAGGGUUCACUUAAAGAGCUUAGGUUGGUGGUUACCCACAGAGGUGUGGGUGUUUCUUCCUGCAAAACUGGACCAGAAAAGUUAGUACCCAGUGAGUUUGAUGUCUUCUACAUACAUGCAUGCAAGUUGGAGGUCCCCUCCCAGAGUCUUCUCUGGGAUAUACACUUCAGACCCUCUGCAAGGCCAUGUGCAACUAGGGAGGAGUUGCAUACAACAUGAAUGGGUAGCAGUAAGGACUUCCUUUCUGGUUUGCAGAUUCACCUCAUGUAUUUGUACACCAAUCUGUUAGAAGGAAAUAAAGAAAAGGUAUACACACACA